GCAGUUGAACAAUUUGGAGCUUGCUGUCAAUUUGGAGCUUGCAUAUGAAAAUUUUGCAUACCAUGCGCUUGAUGAUAAUUCUCAAAGAAUCUAAAUUAUUUUUUGGAUUGGGGAUUUGAUUUUAAAUUGGCAAGUAAAAAAGCCUUGGAUCCAGUUGCUCCAGUUUAUAAGUACUGCCUUGUAUCAGUAUCUAAGAUAUUAACUUCAACAUGCCAAAAUGAGGCCUUCAAAUAUGUCAGUUUUCCUGCUCAGAUACAUGUUAUGAAGAAAUACAAGGGACAAGACUACUUUUUUGCUUUUCUAGUAACAGUGGGAUGUUCAAUUUUUAUUUUAUAUCUUGUAAUGACUACAUCCUUAGUCUUAGAUCAAGGUCUGAUUUUAUUACUUGAACCAAGCACAUGCAUGUGAAUUAUUUUUUAUGUUGAAAUUAUGUUAGCAUACAACUAUUUUGAGGAAUG